UUCUCCUUCGCCAACCCGCACAUGCGCACCUUCCACCUCUCAUGGAUCUCCUUCUUCACCUGCUUCGUCUCCACCUUCGCCGCGGCGCCGCUGGUCCCCAUCAUCCGCGACAACCUCAACCUCACCAAGGCCGACAUCGGCAACGCCGGCGUGGCCUCCGUCUCCGGCUCCAUCUUCUCCCGUCUCGCCAUGGGUGCCGUGUGUGACCUCCUCGGCCCGCGCUACGGCUGCGCGUUCCUCAUCAUGCUCGCCGCGCCCACUGUCUUUUGCAUGGCCAUCAUCGACGACGCCGCAGGCUACAUCGUCGUCAGGUUCCUAAUCGGCUUCUCUCUAGCGACGUUCGUGUCGUGCCAGUACUGGAUGAGCACCAUGUUCAAUAGCAAGAUCAUCGGUACCGUCAAUGGGUUGGCCGCCGGCUGGGGAAACAUGGGCGGCGGCGCCACGCAGCUCAUCAUGCCACUCGUCUAUGACAUCAUCCGCAAGUGCGGCGCCACACCCUUCACGGCGUGGCGUCUCGCCUACUUCGUGCCUGGGUCACUGCACAUCGUGAUGGGAAUCCUUGUGCUCACCAUGGGGCAAGACCUCCCCGAUGGCAACCUCCGUAGCCUCCAGAAGAAGGGCGAUGCCAACAAGGACAAGUUCUCCAAGGUUAUGUGGUACGCUAUCACCAACUACCGGACAUGGAUCUUCGUCCUGCUCUACGGCUACUGCAUGGGCGUCGAGCUCACCACCGACAACGUCAUCGCUGAGUACUACUUCGACCACUUCAACCUGGACCUUCGAGUUGCCGGCAUCAUCGCCGCCUGCUUCGGCAUGGCUAACAUCGUGGCAAGGCCCCUGGGCGGGAUCCUCUCCGAUGUUGGUGCGCGCUACUGGGGCAUGCGUGCCCGCCUUUGGAACAUCUGGAUCCUCCAGACCGCAGGCGGCGCCUUCUGCCUUUGGCUUGGCCGCGCUACCACACUCCCUGCCUCAAUCACCGCCAUGGUUCUCUUCUCAUUCUGCGCUCAGGCCGCCUGUGGCGCCAUUUUUGGUGUCACCCCUUUCAUCUCCCGCCGCUCCCUUGGCAUCAUCUCCGGCAUGACCGGCGCCGGCGGCAACUUCGGUGCCGGACUGACCCAGCUGCUUUUCUUCACCUCAUCCAAGUACUCCACGGGCAUGGGCCUGGAGUACAUGGGCAUCAUGAUCAUGGCGUGCACGCUGCCCGUGGUGUUCGUGCACUUCCCCCAGUGGGGAUCCAUGCUCUUCCCGGCCAAAGCCGGCGCCGUUGAGGAGCACUACUACAGCUCCGAGUGGAACGAGGAGGAGAAGAGCAAGGGGCUCCACAGUGCCAGCCUCAAGUUUGCCGAGAACUGCCGCUCUGAGCGUGGCAAGCGCAACGUCAUCCAGGCCACCUCCAGCACGCAGCCUAACAACACGCCAGAGCACGUCUGAGAGAAACUCCUGCUGUUUGUGUUUGUGCGUAUGUUCCUACUCUG
rnacentral:lncRNA from 1 species